UACGUAGGGUGCGAGCGUUAAUCGGAAUUACUGGGCGUAAAGCGUGCGCAGGCGGUAAGUUAAGUCUGAUGUGAAAGCCCCGGGCUCAACCUGGGAAUGGCAUUGGAAACUGGCUUGCUAGAGUGUGGCAGAGGGGGGUGGAAUUCCGCGUGUAGCAGUGAAAUGCGUAGAGAUGCGGAGGAACACCGAUGGCGAAGGCGACCACCUGGACUGAUACUGACACUGAGGUGCGAAAGCGUGGGGAGCAAACAGG
rnacentral:rRNA from 1 species